AAGAGUUCUGCCACUAUUACAUAUCAGACCUAGGGACAGCAAUUAGCCUGGGCUUUUUUCUAGGCCCACUCCACCCUGUUGAACAAUUACAGGAGGGGAUGGGGACUGAAUUGUCUAAAUUGGAGCAAGGAGAAACAGAAUCAUCUAGGAUCCCAACUCUGCUUGAGUUUAGUUAUUUUUCCUUGACAUUUGUAGAAUUUUAAUUCUGUCUCACAUGACAAAAACUCUUCCAAUAUUUUUCUGCAGAACAGCCCAACAAUACCUCCUUCCUCCCACUUGUGAGUGCACAUGUACAUUUGCUCUACCUUCCCUUAGCUAUUAUUAUUCCACCAGUCAUUCUUUUUCCUCUACCUCUCCAUCUCCCUCUUCUUUCUUUUUCUUUCUUCUUCUUUUUCUUUUUUAAUUUUAUUUUGCUUCUCUAAUUAUAGUUGUCAAACUAUGAU
rnacentral:misc_RNA from 1 species